rnacentral:rRNA from 14 species
UGGAGAGUUUGAUCCUGGCUCAGAACGAACGCUGGCGGCGUGCCUAACACAUGCAAGUCGAACGAGAAAGCCUUCGGGCAAGUAAAGUGGCGCACGGGUGAGUAACGCGUGGGUAAUCUGCCCUUCAGUCUGGGAUAACAGUUCUAACGAGCUGCUAAUACCGGAUACGACAUCAACCUCUGCGGGGGAUGAUGGGAAAGAAUUUCGCUGAAGGAUGAGCCCGCGUAUCAUUAGGUAGUUGGUGGGGUAAAGGCCUACCAAGCCGACGAUCCAUAGCUGGUUUGAGAGGAUGAUCAGCCACACUGGGACUGAG